UGUAUUGUGGUGGCUGUUUUCCUCUUGUUAUGGUUAAAAAGAAGUAAUAAGCCGAUGAGGUCAAACGAUGUCAAAGAGUUGAUGAAGACACCAACAAAAACCAUCAUUGAGUGCGAGGAGCCUUUAGUGAUACAGAAG